AGAGUUUGAUCCUGGCUCAGGAUGAACGCUGGCGGCGUGCUUAACACAUGCAAGUCGAACGUGAGGGGGUAGCAAUAUCCUUGAAAGUGGCGCACGGGUGAGUAAUACGUAGGUAACCUGCCCUGGAGUGGGGGAUAACAGCUAGAAAUGGCUGCUAAUACCGCAUGAGGCCGAGACACUGGGAAGUGUUUUGGCGAAAACUCUGGUGCUUCAGGAGGGGCCUGCGGCCGAUUAGCUAGUUGGCGGGGUAAGAGCCCACCAAGGCAGUGAUCGGUAGCUGGUCUGAGAGGACGAUCAGCCACACGGGAACUGAGACACGGUCCCGACUCCUACGGGGGGGCAGCAGUGAGGAAUAUUGGGCAAUGGGCGGAAGCCUGACCCAGCAACGCCGCGUGGAGGAAGACGGCCUUCGGGUUGUAAACUCCUUUUACGGGGGAAGAGGAAGGACGGUACCCCGAGAAUAAGUCACGGCUAACUACGUG
rnacentral:rRNA from 1 species